UACGAAGGGGGCUAGCGUUGCUCGGAAUCACUGGGCGUAAAGGGUGCGUAGGCGGGUCUUUUAAGUCAGGGGUGAAAUCCUGGAGCUCAACUCCAGAACUGCCUUUGAUACUGAAGAUCUUGAGUUCGGGAGAGGUGAGUGGAACUGCGAGUGUAGAGGUGAAAUUCGUAGAUAUUCGCAAGAACACCAGUGGCGAAGGCGGCUCACUGGCCCGGUACUGACGCUGAGGUGCGAAAGCGUGGGGAGCAA
rnacentral:rRNA from 1 species